rnacentral:rRNA from 1 species
UAGUCCCAGCUGUAAGCGUUGUGCACUAGGUGUAGGCGGAUUCGACCCCGUCUGUGCCGUAGGUAACCCAUUAAGUGCACCGCCUGACUAGUACGGUCGCAAGGCUAAAAGUCAAAGAAAUUGACGGGGCCCCGCACAAGCGGUGGAGUAUGUGGCUUAAUUCGAUGCAACGCGAAGAACCUUACCUGGCCUUGACAUGUAUCUCUAAUCCGGUGAAAGCCGGUGAGCUAGCAAUAGCAAUUUACACAGGUGCUGCAUGGCUGUCGUCAGCUCGUGUCGUGAGAUGAUUGGUUAAGUCCAGCAACGAGCGCAACCCCUAUGAUUAGUUGCUCCUUUGGAGGUCUCUAGUCAGACUGCCCUGUCAAACGGGGAGGAAGGUGGGGACGACGUCAAGUCAGGAUGGCCCUUACGGCCAGGGCUGCACACGUACUACAAUGCCCAGUACAGAGGGUCGCAAAGCCGCGAGGUGGAGCUAAUCUCAUAAAACUGGGCCCAGUUCGGAUUG